GUCGCGGAUCCGAGGUAACGUAAUCGGUAACCGAGGCUAGAGAGGUGAGAAAAUAAAGAUAGAAAUUGGGAUUGAGAUAGAGAGAAGAGAAAUAGAGGUAGAGAGAUAGAUAGAUGAGGAUUGAGAGGUGAGGGUUAGGAAAAAGAAUUGGGAUAGAGAUAAGGGAUAGAGAAGAAGAAGGGUUUGGAGAAGAACCUUUGGGGGAGAAAUAGACUAUUUCAUUUUCAUUCAUAAUUCUGUUUGCCAUACAAUCUCGUACUUAUACUUCUCAGGAUUAAUACUGGAAUGGAAAUUACAUAAUCUCUUAGGACUAAACAGCAAAGUGACCAAAAAUGAGAUGCUGAUUGGUUGGGCUGCCAUUCGGGGUUGUUGGGCCACCUCUCUGGGCCUUCCGGUCCGGUAGUGCUAGUGAGUGGGUAAACGGGUGCCGGACUCCUCCUUCUCCGCAUCAUCCGCGACCCUGCGGGUUUUGGGCUCGCCUUUUUCCUCCGCUCCGAAGGCUUGAGGCUCCGACCCGCCUGCUCUCUUCUUCGCCCCAAAAACCAAGAUCCGUCGGACUUCUCCUCCAACCUCGGUCCUUCUUCUGCUCUCUCUCCGCUCCGAGGACACCCAAGCUCCUCCGCCCCGCCAAGGCUCCGCCCGGGCCACCCUUCGCCAGCCUGUUCAAGCUCGCCGGUCUGCUCCAUCAAGCGCGCUUUUCCUCACUUGCUGCGGCCAUUAUUUCUGCUCUUACUAUUGUAAAGUUAGACAUUUUUACUUCCUUCCCCUGCUAGCUAUUAGACUACUUAAUACUUCAGGUCAUUACAAUCCCUUCCCCUUAAGUUCAUCCUUGUCCUCAAGGAUGGAACUUUUUGAACUGGUUUUGGGAUCACCCAUUUGCUUUCCCAACAGCACAUUCUUCUUCUUCAAAAUUGCUUCUUUUAAGCCAUGUUUGAACCUCUGUUCUGUUUUCUCACCCCACUUUGCGCCGGUUUGAGGUGUUUCCCAUUGUGUCCACAUUCGCCUAACACCUCGGGUUGGCAGCACGGACGGCGGCUCCUGCUGGGGCGGGGGCUCACCCUUGGGCCUUCAGGCAGUCGCAACCGGCGCGCCGCCCGACUUGUUUGCUCUGAGAUGUGGCAAAGUGUAUACUGGCAAAAUGGGAGCUCUAGAAUUUUCUCCAUAGUCUUGCUGGAAUGCUUGUAGGGUAAUAAUUCUGGGUAUAUCUGUUCUUCUCCUUCAAGAACUCCCUCACUUCUUCUUUUAUCAAUAUGGUGCUUCAUUCCCUGACACCAAUUCGUAUUCGGUUGCUCCUUAAGAUUGCACUUGACCUGAUCACUUUGCUUGCACCAACUUACAAUCAAGUUCACUCUAGCAUUCUCAGAAGGGAUUGAGAUUGUAGGGAAAUAACCCAAUUCUCUAUUAGAUUCUUUCAGCUUGGCUUGCUCAUAAGCCAAUGACAGUGAGCUAGGGUGAGGCAUUUUAAUAAUUGGUGCUACCCCCCUCUUAUACCAACUAACAAGGGUUGACCUAAGGCAAACUCCUGUCGGACCAAGAAUUUGACUUAGCACUUGUACCUGCAAGUCUUGUGAUCUCUCUUGCUGCCUUAGCAUUGUUGCAAAUUCCACCUCUUGUUGAUCACUGAUUUGUUGUAUCUCAAAGCAUUUCUUGUUCACUCCCAACAGAACUGCGACAAAUUCUUUCUCUUGAGUAGAAUCUUUAACUUCUCUAAGUGGCUUUUGUAUGCAAGCAUGUAAUUCCUCCAUUAUUGCUCCAGAUCUAAUCCGAUAGUGCCGAGCUUCUAUUACUUGUACUCCCUGCUUGAUUAUCAUUGGUAGCUUGAUUGGGGUGACAAGCCUUUGCGAAAAUCUUUCUUCAAUGCCACGAGUGGUCACCUUGUUAGGUCCUGGAUCAAAAGGCACUUGCCUAUAUUCCUUCAUCCAAUCAAUUCUAAGCACUAUGUCAGAAUUUUCGAGCCUCAAUUCUCUCGAAUCAGCAAAGAAUUUGUGUCCUGGCUCCUUUCUUGCAAACUGAGGGCAAGAAUUUUCGCUUAGCACCUUGUGCUCAGGGUCUGCUAUCACUAUCAAGGGUGCAACCGUAGUAAACUCAACUCUGGUAGCUUUUGCAAUCCCGAAGUCAAUGAGGCUAUGCAGGUUUCGAUCAUCAUUCAAAAUUAAUUGGGUUUGGUUACCUGACUCCUUGAUACUCCUAGCCUCGUAGACAUUUCCUCCUUCUACUUGUUGUGGCUCACCUUCUUCUUCUUUUGCUGUCUCAGAUUCAGCACCCAUCUCAACCUUUUUCUGGGCUUGUAACACAUGCAGGGAGCUAUUCUUGCAUUGCUUUUCUGUAAUAUAUUCCUUUCUACAUUCUAGGCAAUGCCAUUGCAUCGUUGUUCGCUUACUUGUAGCAGUCGCUUCUUCAAAAUCAUAAUGAAUACUCUUUUUAGAUCUGCGAGCUGUACUUUCCGCGAUUUCUCAGGUACUCCCUACUUCUGCUGAAGUAGAAUGGCCAUCUGGGGCAUUGUGGGCAGGCCCGAGUAGAGGCGGCUGUGUUGCGAGUAGCUUCAGCAGCUCCUCGGGCUUGCUAGCACGCUCGCUCAAUGCGAUCUCUGGUCUUCUAUUGAUCUCCAACUGUAGAUAAUCACCACACUCUUGCUCCGACCCUGCACUUCCAGCUUCCUGUAUGUGAUCAUCCUCCUGCACCAUAAUUUCAGCCCUCUUUGCGGCUUCACAAUUCUGUUGGCAGCUCUCUACCGAAUUGGUUUGCUCGCAAGUACUAAAUUCUCGGAUUGGGUACCCCUCUUUUGCCGCUGUAAAUCUUUUACAAAUUGCAUCGGAAAACUCGCUCCAAUUCACCCUUGGUCGAUUAAAGAAAUAUGCUUGCUUCCAAAACCUUGCAUCACCCCCUAUGUGCCAGGACGCUACGCCUAUCCAUUGUUGCUCAGGAAUUUGGUAUCGGUCAAAAUACUGCUCGCAAUUUCGCAACCAUCCUUUUGGAUCUGUUCCGUUAAAGGUUGGGAUUUGCAACUUCAAGUAUGGUAUAUAUUGUUGCAGUGGUUGGUUUCUUGCAGGCCUAAUUGAUGUGGGUGUUAGCCUUUCCCUCUCAAUAGGAGCUAGUAUUUUACUUUCCAUAUCAUUCUGUUGAAUCACAAAAUUGCUACUCGUGGAAUUGUCUUGUACGACUUGUCGGCCUUCUCUGAUUACCAAAGGGGUGUUCACUGACUGUGAGUUCGGCCCUAAAGCUGUCAGCAAAUCCACUAGCUGUUGAUGCAUUCUAGCACUCUCUUGCCGCAACUUUUCAUAGCUCGUGGCUUCUUCUAUUCGCAAGGCUUCGUACUUCUGCUGCCAUGUUUGUCGUGAACUAUCCAUUUGGCUGAAGUUACUAUAUCAAGGUUGCGAAUGAUGCUAUCUUGAGGCUUAGAUGCUGCUCCUAUCCUUGGACAGUACUAAUUCUUCUCUUGGUUUUGAAUUUGAAUCGGUUUUCGCUCUUUUUUUUUUUUUUUUUUUUUUCCAAUUGUCGCCCUUGGACGCUACUGUGAUUGCUUCACUCUUGUUUGGUCUGAAAUUAUAGCUUGCUACAGUAACUACGCCGAGGUGCCAAUGAUGCUAAGCUGAGGCCCGGUGCGAUUCUAAUUCAAUAGAAUCCGCACUAGUCUUUACUACUACCUCGGUACAGCCUUAGUAUGUUUCCUCUGUUGCUAAUUGUGCUAGUUGGAUGAUAUUACCUUGUGCACGCCAAUUGCUUGGGGUAAUUCCCCACAGCUGCUGAGCCUCCAACGGUCUUGCUCCUGUUGAAUUCCUGCUGCCCACGGCCCUGGGACAGUGCCACUCUGAUACCAAUUGUAAUAUCCCUUAUGGCUUGGUUCAGGUUCUUGGUACUUCUGGUCGCGGAUCCGAGGUAACGUAAUCGGUAACCGAGGCUAGAGAGGUGAGGAAAUAGAGAUAGAAAUUGGGAUUGAGAUAGAGGGAAGAGAAAUAGAGGUAGAGAGAUAGAUAGAUGAGGAUUGAGAGGUGAGGGUUAGGAAAAAGAGUUGGGAUAGAGAUAAGGGAUAGAGAAGAAGAAGGGUUUGGAGAAGAACCUUUGGGGGAGAAAUAGACUAUUUCAUUUUCAUUCAUAAUUCUGUUUGCCAUACAAUCUCGUACUUAUACUUCUCAGGAUUAAUACUGGAAUGGAAAUUACAUAAUCUCUUAG
rnacentral:lncRNA from 1 species